UACGAAGGGGGCUAGCGUUGCUCGGAAUCACUGGGCGUAAAGCGCACGUAGGCGGCUUUCUAAGUCAGGGGUGAAAUCCUGGAGCUCAACUCCAGAACUGCCUUUGAUACUGGAGAGCUUGAGUCCGGAAGAGGUGAGUGGAACUCCGAGUGUAGAGGUGAAAUUCGUAGAUAUUCGGAAGAACACCAGUGGCGAAGGCGGCCCCCUGGCCCGCAACUGACGCUCAUGGUCGAAAGCGUGGGGAGCAAACAGG
rnacentral:rRNA from 1 species